rnacentral:rRNA from 1 species
UUUAUGGAGAGUUUGAUCCUGGCUCAGGAUGAACGCUGGCGGCGUGCCUAAUACAUGCAAGUCGAGCGAACAGAUAAGGAGCUUGCUCCUUUGACGUUAGCGGCGGACGGGUGAGUAACACGUGGGUAACCUACCUAUAAGACUGGAAUAACUCCGGGAAACCGGGGCUAAUGCCGGAUAACAUGUUGAACCGCAUGGUUCUACAGUGAAAGACGGUCUUGCUGUCACUUAUAGAUGGACCCGCGCCGUAUUAGCUAGUUGGUAGGGUAACGGCCUACCAAGGCGACGAUACGUAGCCGACCUGAGAGGGUGAUCGGCCACACUGGAACUGAGACACGGUCCAGACUCCUACGGGAGGCAGCAGUAGGGAAUCUUCCGCAAUGGGCGAAAGCCUGACGGAGCAACGCCGCGUGAGUGAUGAAGGUCUUCGGAUCGUAAAGCUCUGUUGUUAGGGAAGAACAAAUGUGUAAGUAACUGUGCACAUCUUGACGGUACCUAACCAGAAAGCCACGGCUAACUACGUGCCAGCAGCCGCGGUAAUACGUAGGUGGCAAGCGUUAUCCGGAAUUAUUGGGCGUAAAG